GGUAGUUCCAAUAGCAUCGUAUCUGUUCUUAACCUCAAUUUUUUUUGAAAUUUUAUCGGAGAUUCUCAGUGGCUAGGGAGAUUAAAUUCACAUCUAUAACUUGAGAUUGGCUGUACGGGCAUUUGAGGAUCACACUACAAAGAUCCUCGCUUUGACAGUCAAUGUUUCGCAAUGCCGAAAAGCCUACGGCUUCUUCAAGUUCACGUAACACCAACGGCGGGAUGGUUGGAAGGUCUCCCAAAGAACUCCAAUUAGAACGUAGCUGAGAUUGCAAUAAAUCAACGUUUACUCAAUGUUCUAGUGUAAGUAAGAAUACGGCAUUGAAGAAAAUCAAACAGAGGGCAUGUUAUAAUAUAGGUACUAGAGGCAUCCGCUAUAUCUUUAUAAAUGUAUAAAUAUGUUGUGAUCAUUUUCCAUUGUAUGACGAUUGUAAGCUGUUUUUGUACUGCCUGCACAUGAAAUAAAAAAUUAUUAUUAUUA